rnacentral:tRNA from 1 species
GCGGGUGUAGUUUAGUGGUAAAACUUCAGCCUUCCAAGCUGUUGUCGCGAGUUCGAUUCUCGUCACCCGCU